rnacentral:rRNA from 1 species
CUACGGGGGGCAGCAGUGGGGAAUAUUGGACAAUGGGGGAAACCCUGAUCCAGCAAUGCCGCGUGUGUGAAGAAGGCCUGCGGGUUGUAAAGCACUUUCGGUUGGGAGGACUGCUUCUAGCACUAAUAUUGUUGGAAGUUGACGUUACCUUCAGAAGAAGCACCGGCUAACUCCGUGCCAGCAGCCGCGGUAAUACGGAGGGCGCAAGCGUUAAUCGGAAUUACUGGGCGUAAAGCGCGCGGAGGCGGCUAGAUCAGCCGGGUGUGAAAGCCCCGGGCUUAACCUGGGAACUGCAUCCGAUACUGUCUAGCUUGAGUACAGGAGAGGAGAGUGGAAUUCCACAUGUAGCGGUGAAAUGCGUAGAUAUGUGGAGGAACACCAAUGGCGAAGGCAGCUCUCUGGCCUGAUACUGACGCUGAGGUGCGAAAGCGUGGGGAGCAAACAGGAUUAGAUCCCUCGUAGUC